GGGUCAGCGAUUGGGGUGAAGUCGUAACAAGGUAGCCGUAGGAGAACCUGCGGCUGGAUCACCUCCUUUCUAAGGA
rnacentral:rRNA from 1 species